UAGGCUGAGGAGCAAAAGGAGAAAGCCGCCCAAGGAGGGGCUCGCGUCUGAUUAGCUAGUUGGUGAGGCAAUAGCUUACCAAGGCGAUGAUCAGUAGCUGGUCCGAGAGGAUGAUCAGCCACACUGGGACUGAGACACGGCCCAGACUCCUACGGGAGGCAGCACUGGGGAAUUUUCCGCAAUGGGCGAAAGCCUGACGGAGCAAUGCCGCGUGGAGGUGGAAGGCCUACGGGUCGUCAACUUCUUUUCUCGGAGAAGAAACAAUGACGGUAUCUGAGGAAUAAGCAUCGGCUAACUCUGUGCCAGCAGCCGCGGUAAGAC
rnacentral:ncRNA from 1 species